rnacentral:rRNA from 1 species
GGAUUAGAUACCCUGGUAGUCCACGCCCUAAACGAUGUCAACUAGUUGUUGGGGAUUCAUUUCCUUAGUAACGUAGCUAACGCGUGAAGUUGACCGCCUGGGGAGUACGGUCGCAAGAUUAAAACUCAAAGGAAUUGACGGGGACCCGCACAAGCGGUGGAUGAUGUGGAUUAAUUCGAUGCAACGCGAAAAACCUUACCUACCCUUGACAUGGUCGGAAUCCUGCUGAGAGGCGGGAGUGCUCGAAAGAGAACCGGCGCACAGGUGCUGCAUGGCUGUCGUCAGCUCGUGCCG